UACAGAGGUCUCAAGCGUUGUUCGGAUUCAUUGGGCGUAAAGGGUGCGUAGGCGGCGGGUCAAGUCGAGUGUGAAAGCCCCGGGCUCAACCUGGGAAUUGCGCUCGAGACUGGUCUGCUUGAGUUCGGGAGAGGAGAGUGGAAUUCCCAGUGUAGAGGUGAAAUUCGUAGAUAUUGGGAAGAACACCGGUGGCGAAGGCGGCUCUCUGGACCGAGACUGACGCUGAGGCGCGAAAGCGUGGGGAGCAAACAGG
rnacentral:rRNA from 1 species